rnacentral:rRNA from 1 species
CUCCAUGGUUAAUACCCAUGGACGAUGACAUUAGCUGCAGAAUAAGCACCGGCUAACUCUGUGCCAGCAGCCGCGGUAAUACAGAGGGUGCAAGCGUUAAUCGGAAUUACUGGGCGUAAAGCGAGCGUAGGUGGCUUGAUAAGUCAGAUGUGAAAGCCCCGGGCUUAACCUGGGAACGGCAUCUGAUACUGUUAGGCUAGAGUAGGUGAGAGGAAGGUAGAAUUCCAGGUGUAGCGGUGAAAUGCGUAGAGAUCUGGAGGAAUACCGAUGGCGAAGGCAGCCUUCUGGCAUCAUACUGACACUGAGGUUCGAAAGCGUGGGUAGCAAACAGGAUUAGAUACCCUGGUAGUCCACGCCGUAAACGAUGUC